rnacentral:misc_RNA from 1 species
GAUGAAGAACGCAGCGAAAUGCGAUAAGUAAUGUGAAUUGCAGAAUUCAGUGAAUCAUCGAAUCUUUGAACGCACAUUGCGCCCGCCAGUAUUCUGGCGGGCAUGCCUGUUCGAGCGUCAUUACAACCCUCAGGCCCCCGGGCCUGGCGUUGGGGAUCGGCGGAAGCCCCCUGCGGGCACAACGCCGUCCCCCAAAUACAGUGGCGGUCCCGCCGCAGCUUCCAUUGCGUAGUAGCUAACACCUCGCAACUGGAGAGCGGCGCGGCCACGCCGUAAAACACCCAACUUCUGAAUGUUGACCUCGAAUCAGGUAGGGAUACCCGCUGAACUUAAGCAUAUCAAUAAGCGGAGGA